GAUGAACGCUAGCGGCAGGCCUAAUACAUGCAAGUCGAACGAUACCAGAGAGCUUGCUUUCUGGGAAAGUGGCGCACGGGUGCGUAACGCGUAUGCAACCUACCUUAAUCAGGGGGAUAGCCCCUCGAAAGAGAGAUUAACACCGCAUAACAUCAUUUUACGGCAUCGUAGAAUGAUCAAAUAUUUAUAGGAUUAAGAUGGGCCUGCGUUACAUUAGCCAGUUGGUGAGGUAACGGCUCACCAAGGCUACGAUGUUUAGGGGAUCUGAGAGGAUGACCCACCGCCCUGGUACUGGGACACGGACCAGACUCCUGCGGGAGGCAGCAGUAAGGAAUAUUCGUCAAGAGAGGCAACUCUGAGCCAGCCAUGCCGCGUGCAGGAAGACGGACCUAUGGGUUGUAAACUGCUUUUAUACGGGAAUAAACCUCUCUACGUGUAGGGAGUUGAAUGUACUGUAAGAAUAAGGAUCGGCUAACUCCGUGCCAGCAGCCGCGGUAA
rnacentral:rRNA from 1 species